rnacentral:rRNA from 1 species
UGACUNGAGUGCAGAAGGGGAGAGUGGAAUUCCAUGUGUAGCGGUGAAAUGCGUAGAUAUAUGGAGGANCACCAGUGGCGAAAGCGGCUCUCUGGUCUGUCACUGACGCUGAGGCUCGAAAGCGUGGGUAGCGAACAGGAUUAGAUACCCUGGUAGUCCACGCCGUAAACGAUGAGUGCUAGGUGUUAGGCCCUUUCCGGGGCUUAGUGCCGGAGCUAACGCAAUAAGCACUCCGCCUGGGGAGUACGACCGCAAGGUUGAAACUCAAAGGAAUUGACGGGGGCCCGCACAAGCGGUGGAGCAUGUGGUUUAAUUCGAAGCAACGCGAAGAACCUUACCAGGUCUUGACAUCCCGAUGCUAUUCUUAGAGAUAGGAAGUUACUUCGGUACAUCGGAGACAGGUGGUGCAUGGUUGUCGUCAGCUCGUGUCGUGAGAUGUUGGGUUAAGUCCCGCAACGAGCGCAACCCUUAUUGUUAGUUGCCAUCAUUAAGUUGGGCACUCUAGCGAGACUGCCGGUAAUAAACCGGAGGAAGGUGGGGAUGACGUCAAAUCAUCAUGCCCCUUAUGACCUGGGCUACACACGUGCUACAAUGGUCGGUACAACGAGUUGCGAGCCGGUGACGGCAAGCUAAUCUCUGAAAGCCGAUCUCAGUUCGGAUUGGAGGCUGCAACUCGCCUCCAUGAAGUCGGAAUCGCUAGUAAUCGCGGAUCAGCACGCCGCGGUGAAUACGUUCCCGGGCCUUGUACACACCGCCCGUCACACCACGAGAGUUUGUAACACCCGAAGUCGGUGAGGUAACCUUUUAGGGGC